GAUGAACGCUAGCUACAUGCCUAACACAUGCAAGUCGAGCGGAAACGACAUCGAAAGCUUGCUCUUGAUGUGCGUCGACCGGCGCACGGGUGAGUAACGCGUAUCCAACCUGCCCACCACUUGGGGAUAACCUUGCGAAACUAAGACUAAUACCCAAUGAUAUCCCUAGAAGACAUCUGAAAGAGAUUAAAGAUUUAUCGGUGAUGGAUGGGGAUGCGUCUGAUUAGCUUGUUGGCGGGGUAACGGCCUACCAAGGCAACGAUCAGUAGGGGUUCUGAGAGGAGGGUACCCUGCAUUGGAAAUGAGACCCGGACCAAAAUGGUAGGGGAGGGAGGAGUGAGGAAGAUAGUGCAAUGGAGGAGAGUCUGAACCAGCCAAGUAGGGGGCAGAAAGCCGGGGCUAUGAGUUGUCAGUUGCUUUGAAAGAGGAAUUGAGUGAGUAUCGUGGGACUUUUUGAAUGUACCUUAUGAAUAAGGAACGGCUAACUCCGUG
rnacentral:rRNA from 1 species